GGGGGCAUCGAGCAGGGGGGCAUCGAGCAGGAGGACGGCAGCUACGAGAGACCUGUGGGGAAGUAAUUGAUCGGACGGAACUGGCGCGGCAGCCGAGGUAACCGUGGGAGUAGUCGCUAUAGGGGCCUGUAAGGAGACGCCGGGCUGAGCCAGGAGCAACAUGAGUAGACGACCGCAGCAGGCGAGACGAGUGGCGAGGACUGCGGAGCAGACGGAGCGACCCGUGGAGCUGUUGGGCCGUGGGACGGAGGAAUCCCCAGAGGAACUGGUAGUUGCUGGGAACUGGCAAAUUAUGGGACAUUUCUCUCUUAUUUAGUUUUUUAAUCUGUGGCAUCACAUGGAUUUUAGUUAGGCUGUUUUAAACUUAUAAACAUUUUUUUAAUUGUAAUAAAUUAUUAACCUUGUUUUAGCUAGUGAUGGCGAGAUGAAGCUUCAUGAAGCACUGAAGCUUUCCAUCCA